rnacentral:rRNA from 1 species
GAAGAACCUUACCUGGUCUUGACAUACAGAGAACUUUCCAGAGAUGGAUUGGUGCCUUCGGGAACUCUGAUACAGGUGCUGCAUGGCUGUCGUCAGCUCGUGUCGUGAGAUGUUGGGUUAAGUCCCGUAACGAGCGCAACCCUUAUCCUUAUUUGCCAGCACUUCGGGUGGGAACUAUAAGGAGACUGCCGGUGAUAAACCGGAGGAAGGCGGGGACGACGUCAAGUCAUCAUGGCCCUUACGACCAGGGCUACACACGUGCUACAAUGGGAAGGACAAAGGGUCGCUAAGCCGCGAGGUGGUGCUAAUCUCAUAAACCUUUUCGUAGUCCGGAUCGGAGUCUGCAACUCGACUCCGUGAAGUCGGAAUCGCUAGUAAUCGUGGAUCAGAACGCCACGGUGAAUACGUUCCCGGGUCUUGUACACACCGCCCGUCAUACCAUGGGAGUGGGUUGCACCAGAAGUGGGUAGUCUAACUUAGGAGGACGCUCACCACGGUGUGAUUCAUGACUGGGGUAAAGUCGUAACA